GAGAAACGUGAGGAAGGCUGUUGGUGACUCACCCCCUGGAAGUGAGCAGAGGAACUUCAUCAAGCCGACUAGGUUAGCUGGCCAGUGUGCUCCAAGGAUCUGCUUGUCAUCUUGUCAUUGUUGGGCUUACAGAAACUAGAAUGUCUCGCCUGAAAGGCUCUUCUGGUUCAAGACCUGUUUGUACCUUGAUCUCACUCAGCAAUCACUGCUCCCAAGCUCAUUGGCUUUCCCAGCUUCUCCUCUCCUUGAUGAACCCUCUCCUCCUCUCAAGUCAUCGUCCUGUGUGUCAUGGUAUUGUAUAUCUCAGCAUUGCCUCAAAUUCACUGCAUGGUUUGAUUAUGACCUCGAGAAUCUCAUCCUCUACCUCUCUUCCAGAGUGCUGGAAUUACAGAUUAUUUUUAGUUGGAGCCAUUUUCUUCCAUUGCCAUUCUGUCCUCUACAUUUCAGAAGGUAAAACACUAAAGAAGGCCAGAUGGAAGCACUCAAGAAUUCCCUGAAUACAUCAUAUUCAGCAGAUCAAGAAACUAGAGCCUCAGGAUGGAGAGAAGACUACACCCGAGAUUCUUCAUUCAAUCUGCUUUCCAUGUUGCUGCCAAGAGCCCAUAUGUGAAACCUGCUUCCUAUAGGAUGCUCCUGACCAACCAUAGUUGUCUUAGUUGAGCUGUUUCAACUUCUUAUGUCCCAUGUAUAUAUAUGGUCUCUAGGGGCCAGGAACAGAUAGGUGCAGCUUACCAAAGGGUCUUUGCCUGAAGAUUGAUCAGACUGGGCUGGAGUCAAUGCUGCAGCGAAACUGCUGAGAGAAUACAGAUGCCAUUAAGGACAUGCUGUUCCAUAGCAGGAGACGAAAGGGGUUCCACACUCUCACCUGUUUAACAAACAUGGGGCAGAAAGUCACCCCUCUUGUUGGGAGCAACAAACGUCUCUGGAUAAAUCCACAAGGAUAAUUUGGGGAAGGUUAGUAAAUGGACACACUCCUUCUAGAAGCCCGGCUUUUGUGCUAAACUUACUUUCCUGAAGUUAUAUUUUCCAGGGUCUUCUAAGCAUCUCCAUGAGAAAACACCAAAAGGAAACUGUUGCCAAGAUGGUAAGAUGCUUACAGACCUAUUGCCCACUCCGCAUACACAGAAUGAAUUGGGCUGGCUCUUGAAGUCCCGAGGCAUUAGGGCUCCAGGUGUUUCUAAGGUACAGUCACCUUGUGAUGAUUACUAUUGAGUGUCCACUUGACAGGGUCGAGAAUCAUCUACAAGAUAAACUUCCAGGCUUACAUGUUAGGCUGUUUCUGGACUGGAGAAAUGAAGGUGGGAAGACUCAUUCUAAACAUGGGUAGAUCAUCCCAUAGGUUGAGGUUCUGGACUGAAGAAAAAGGAGAAAGACAACUUAGCAGCAGCAUUCAGCUUCCCCACCUCCCUACUGUGGACACAAUGUGACCAGCUGCCUAGUUCUUCUGGUUGCCACAACUUCUAUGAAUUGUACCCUCAACCUAUAAAUAAACCCUGCCUCCCU
ensembl:lincRNA Gm1720 predicted gene 1720